UUAAAUCGCUUACUUGUUGAUGAGCAGCCCAUAAAGCAGGCGAAUUACCAAAGCUCCAUCUCAUAGGGCGAAAUCCAAUCGGAAGUGAACAUUCCCGACCCUUCCACAAAGGGCAGCCCUUAAAUUGGGAACUCUGGAAGACCGUUGUGUGGCGUCCCCUUCUCGAAGUGCACUUCAAGGGCGCAAAAACGCCGAUUGGAGUUCGCCCAUAAACUUUCCGCGAGCCUGAGUGACUCCUGUUAAAGUGUCGUCGGUUGGCCGGAUAUCGCUGAGGGUGACUUCAACCAAGAUCCAAAGGAGCAAAUGCAUUCGAACCAGUGCCAUAAGUUAAGGUGGAGACAGAAGUUUACCAAAAAGAAAAAAACUCAUUGGAUGAAUGAGAAGAACUUCAAAUCACAGCACUUUAGAGAGAAGGAGGACUGGGAUAAGGAGAUUGAGGAGUGUUUACUUACCACAAAAGAACAGAGCCAACCCCCUUAUGAUCCUGGAGAUGAACUGAAUACAACAGAGAUGGUUCAGUGUGACGUCCAAAAUAGCACAAGCUUCAGCCAGGACCACUACACGCCAGUAGUUCACCACAAACGGCCUGUCAAAUGGGUCCGCUGUAUUUACACCGUAGUGGCUGACCAGUUUGCUAAUGCUGAGGAUUAAGGCGGUCCAUUGUACCAUGUUUUAUGUUUUUUUACAAAAAAAAUUCAUUUUAUGUAUUAGUUAAUUCAUUAAUAGAUGUUAUUUUAUAAUUUACUCAGUUCAUGGAAAUGAUCUUUUAAGUAUUUGUUGAGUUUUUAGUGUGCUUUCAUUAUAGGAAAUUAAAUGGAUAUGUUAAGUGUUUCAUUGUUUAGUACCAUCAACUCUUGCCUGAUGCAAAUUUAUGUUUCAGUGUUAAUCUAAGCACAGUUUUGAAUUGGGUUACAGUGUAUCUUUAAAAGAAACUGUAUUAAACAGAGAGAGAAACUGUU